rnacentral:lncRNA from 1 species
UCUGCUACUGCUGGUAGGAUCGAUUACAAAAUCGGUGCUCUGAGUGUGUAUGUAUUUGGAUUUGUUGUUGCAGCGAUAUUUCGAUCUCUGCUGUACGAGGCUUGCGGCCGGAUCGUCAACCCGAUCUACGGCUCCGUCGGGCUGCUGUGGUCCGGCAGCUGGCAGCUGUGCCAGGCGGCGGUGGAGGCGGUGCUCAAGGGCGCCCCCAUCGCCCAGAUCCCCAUCGAGAUGGCGGCCUCCACUCCGGCCCCGCCGCUCAAGGCCUGCGACAUCCGCCACGUCUCCAAGGGCUCCGGCGCCGCGCGGGCCGCCGCAGAGCUCCACAAGGUCAAAACGGCCCGAUCCCGGUUCAAGCGCUCCGGCGCCAAACCCGCGAAGCCAGCCGCCCCCUUGCCCGACUUCCAGCCCGCCGAGAGCCACGACUCGGCGGCAAGCCACGCGACCGAGCCCGGCCCGGCGAAGGCCGGUGCCAGCGGAGAGGACGGGGAGUGCCGGGAGAACGAGAGCAUGUCCUCGGCGGACACCGUGGAGGAGGAGGCGUCGCACGUGAGCCAGGGCGAGCCGGACAGCGCCGAAGAGGACGAGGUUGGUCUGGAGCUCACCCUCGGGUUCGAGCCGGUGUCGCGGCCGACACCGGCUCGACGCCCGCGGUCUGGGGUGGACGGGCGGUGCGACCUCAGCGCCACGGAUAUGGGUGAGUGCACGGCCGACCUCGGCCUGGCUCUGCCGGCGGCACCAUAAGCCAAGCCAAGCCAAGCCAAGCAGUGCUGGAUGUGAACAAAGCAGAGAUGUGAGUCCUUUGAGCUCCCCCUGUUUUCUUGGUUUUCCUGUCCCUAUUGUGCAAGAGGAUGGAGGAGGCUUAUAAUUUAUUGUUUUCCUUUUUCCUUCUUUGGGUGGUAUUUCAGAUGGUAGAGGUUAGCUACUUCCAUGUGUAUAGAAGCUUUGGCCUGAAUAGGAUCCACUUUGUACACUUCGAAGAAAGAAGAGAUCAAAGUUUCUACUUCUGUUUACAUCUUGUCUCUUGUUUCUUUAUUUGUCCUGAGAUGAUAUUUGCAGAAUCCUUUGGUCUCUUCAUGGAAAACGCAGUCGAGGAGGAAAUCAAAUUACUGAAAGAAACAAUUCAGUAAAAUGGAUCCUCACUGACCUUUUGACCUUUCUGGCUAUUUUGGAAGAACGUGGAGUCCUUUCCUAGCUUGAAAGAUAUGGAUGGAGAGCUAAAACAGCUGGUGUUUGUAGGUUUUGCUCAAAGACAGUGCAUGGAAUUGGGAAGAGAGAGAAAAAUGGAGGCCAAAAGCCAACAAAAGAGUUGGGAGACUCCCUGGCACCAGUGGGGCAUAGGUUUCCUGAAGGAGUUGGAUGUGGCAGGGAUAAGCUGCAAGAACGGUUCAAGCCAAAGGUUCUGCACGAAGAUGUCCUCUCUCUCUCAGGAUUAGAAAACCCUGCCUUUCAUGCUUACAGAAGCUGGGGACUAUAAAUGCUGUGGAUCUCUCUGACAUACAAGAUAGAAUUCCAACACUUUUGUAUUCCAAGCAGCCAAUCAUGAAACAUGAGGUUGAUGUUUGGCCAUCAGUAUUUGGAAUGCGACUCAGCUGUUGUGAAGCCAUUUCUGGGUGCAGGAGACUUUUUGAGAGAAAAGGUGGGGCAACUUGCAAGACCAAGUCAUGUUUGGGGGAUAACCUUAUCCUCCAUUAACUCAAUUCCAUGUUGGUGGUGGAUAAUUAAACUUGCAAGACCAAGUCAUGUUAGAAUUUUAAGAGUCACACAUGUAUAAUUAAAUAUAUUAAGUUAUUAUUUUAAUUAGUCAAAAUUAAAGUGAUCUAAUUAAAAUAAAAUUAUUUGACUAAGGAACAUAAUUGUUAUGAAAAUUAAUUAUGUGGAUACCAUCAUGUUCCUAACUUAAUGACGAGAUAAGUUAAGAAUAUGAAACUCUUGAGGCAUAAUUGCAGAUUCAUCAAUUAUGAAUACAAUCAUAAUUGUAGAUUCAUCAGUUAUGACUAUAAAUAAGGUUAUGGUCCCCGAUUGCAGUAUCAAAUAAAGUUUCUCUUCACCCAAAGAGAAAUCUAAAGUUCAAAAGGUACUCUACAAUUGGAAGACUAAAUCACUGAUUUAUUCAGAAAAUAUUCUAAUAGAUUCAUCAGGUACGCUUCCGUGUUAAUAUGUUUAUCAAUUGUUGUAGGAUUUUAUGCAUAUUAUAGUAGAUUAAAUAAGUUUUAUGGAAAUAUUUUUAAUCCAUUAUUUUGGAUCUAUAAAGUAUAUUUUUGAAUCAAGAUGAUGGAUUUGAUUCUAUAAAACAAUUGUUUGAUCCAUAUUUAAUAUGUUAAAAAGAACUCCAACAGAUCAAUUAUAUAUAUAUAUAACACUUGGAUUGAGUCGAGAAGAUAUUAUCAAUGCACCUUGGAAUUGAUUUGGAUAUCAUCUAAGCGAAAUGAAGGAUUGGAUUGGUUGAAUCAUUUAAUCAUCAAGGAAGACUAUUUCGAAUGAAUGCCAUCUGAAAUAACGAGAGAUGUGUGAGCGAGUUAAUAUGGGAUAGAUCUCAAUCUCAUAUGCACGAAUUGAAAUAAGCUACAACAAUGAUAAUGGAGUUUUUGGAGCUCAUGUCCACUGUUUUUAGUGGUAUUGCAUCUGGUCUCAAGUGGGACUAUCAUCCUCUUCAUUUCACUGAUGGUGUGGAUGAUUUAUGUGUAUGAACUAUGUAGAUUCGAAUUUAAAGAUAUUGAGACAUUUUGACUUAUGAGAUAAAGCCAAUAUCUCGUAUAAAAUAUUAAUUCUUUUAUCAAAACAUGACUCCAUCAAGUUUAAUGCUUCUUGUAUCUUUCUUCUUUUUCUUUAAGAAAUACAAAAAUGUUAAUAGCCAAUUAAUUGUAAGAAUAAACUAUACAAUAACAAUAGUAAAAUUGAUGAGUGGAAACCCACACCACAUCAUCAUUCUGUGGGUCUGAUGUUAUAUUAGUAUCAAUAAGAAUAUCUAUUCAUUUUACUGAAUUGUUUCUUUCAGUAAUUUGAUUUCCUCCUCAACUGGGUUUUCCAUGAAGAGCCCAAAGGAUUCUGCAAAUAUCAUCUCAGGACAAAUAAAGAAACAAGAGACAAGAUGUAAACAGAAGUAGAAACUUUGAUCUCUUCUUUCUUCGAAGUGUACAAAGUGGAUCCUAUUCAGGCCAAAGCUUCUAUACACAUGGAAGUAGCCUCCUCCAUCCUCUUGCACAAUAGGAACAGGAAUGGUGAUACAUAUAUCCAUCUCAUGAAUUAACUUUUGACGAUACUUAAAAAAAUAAAUAAAAUUAAUCAUACGCUUAUUGCGUGUAACACCACUAAUUAAUCAUACGAACAAAAUUAAAAUUAACUUAGAAGAAUAUGAUGAGUGUAUUAUUAUUAAUUUUAGUUUAACCGUUUUGUCAGUGGUUUAAACCAAACAAAGUUGAUGGGUCAUUUAACCCAUCAAACCCGGGUCAUAACAUUUGAUAUCAAAGUCGAUCUAGUAUUUAAGUAUGGUAAGAGAGCUCAAGUAGGAAAGGACUACGUGAAGUCACCAUUAAGUUACGUCUCACAUGCAUUAUGCUAAUAUUUAAUUUAGAUUAUGUUAGUCGGGUCUUGACGGGUUUAGACCAAACGAAGUUGAUACACGUUCUGUACACCUGACGUAAUUCUUAUUUUUUAAUCCCUUAUUCACUUGAUGUCAAACAUAAGGUAAAUAUGUAAGAUCUACAGGAACAAAUAAUACCUGCUAAAAAAAGGUCAAUUUUUGUAACAUGCAGAAUUGGUUUAGAACAACUUGUGAUGCAUGCAUGGAAGAUAUUAAACAUGGAAACAUGACAGUUUGUCUUCCUCAUCUCUGAGAGAAGUUGUGUUUUUUUGUUCUUCAAGCAGGUUGGUAGGUUUUCACGGCCACCCAAAUGUGAAUUGAACAUGGUCUUCACUAGCCAGCUUCGUUGAGAGAUGGCUCCUAUCAAAGUCAUCAUUUCUGGUUACAGCAAGUUGUGAUGCAUGCCGCAUGAAGAAUAUGAAGAAUCUGAUGUCCAUGAAUCCUGCACUUGGAUUUCUCUUUUCUGAAACCAAGUGCUAAUUUUUAUUGGAGAGAAAGUUCAAUCUUUCCUGUAAUACCUCGGUUAAGUUUGAUAUGGACAAAAAUUUAGAUGGGUAUCACAUGUAUAUUAUUAUUAUUAUCAUAGACUUAACAACUAUAGAUUAGUGGUCCAGACUUAAUAAAAUAAAUACAUCCAUUAUCGUAAUAAUUGAUAUCUGACUAACUUAGUAUUAAUCAUAUAUUAGAAGUCAGACUUAGAUUAGCUUAUAAAAAUCUGAGUAGCGUACUGUUAUUCAGUUGACCUGAAAUUAUUUUCGAAAGUCAAAAAGAUCAAUCUAUUAUAUUUAUAUCUUUAAAUUAAUAUAUGGAUAGCUUAUUUGAUUAUGGAUCAUAUUUAAUUAUGUAUACUAUAGAUCUGAUUGGAUUCUGACAAUGAUUAUCAAUCAAUAGAAAGAAAAUUCAAUUGUAAUAAAAUUUCUUAAAAGAUAAUCUUGAUUCUCCUACUUAUUUAUUCUAGAUCCUUUGCUUUUACCUAUAUAUAAAUAUAAUCUCUUAGGAAGAGAAAAAAAUAUGAGUCUAGUUCUCCUUAUAUAUCGACAUCGUUACGACGAUAUUCUUAUAAAUCAAAUAAAGAUUUUUCUAAAUAGUAUUAAAAGGUACGUAUCGUAAAUCUGAUUUAUUAUUAUUUGAUUUCAAUCAUGACAUUAAAAAAUUUUCAUAUAAUAUAUAGUAUUUCAUGACACUAUCGUGUUUGUAGGUUCACAAUAGCAAAUAAUGGAUUCAAUUAAUCCUUUAGAGUAGAUGAUUGAUACUACUACACCUCUCCCUUUCUCUAUAACCAAAUUGGGGCGGGAUUAGUCCCAAUUCAAGAAAAUGACAACUUUAAUAUAGUUAUUAGCCACUUGGGAUUAAUUAGCCGCUAUACCUUUAAUAAAGCGACGCUACAACAAGAGAGUUGUUUAAUUGCUAGUAGUAUGAAAUGGAGACUCUAAUUAAUGCGUCUUUUCGAUUGAUAGGCUAACGAUGGUGAUAAUUAGGAUGGACACAUGUGGUGAUAACUUCGAAUCUUGAAACUCUACUUAGCUAGCCUUGCCAAUCUAAUGUCCAUGUGUUACUUCGUCUCCAACCUCAUUUCAAUCUCUUCUAUCUUAAACCCUUUUCUUUUUGUUUUUUUGAUAAUAAUGAGUGAUUGUCGUCAUGAAAUAAUUGACUCAUUUACUUGCCAAAUCUUUAUACAUUGUGUUGAUGGAAUAACGAGUGAUCGUCAAAUCUGACUUGAUGAAAUAAUUUAUUUAUUUAUUUAUUAAAUCUUUAUAUUCUUAUGAUGUGGCGUAGAUCGGAGUGUUACAAUGGAUUAAAAAAUAGAGAUUAUGAUUAUUUAGAUUAUAAAUGAUGAUCCAUUAAUAGAUAUAAAAUUAUCAUAAAUGAUGAGUCGUAUUCCAUAUCCAAUACUAGGUUUAUUAUAAUAUUAUUAAUCAUGAUUUGAUUCGACAACAUAAAUGAUGUAUUAAUUUGAUGACCUAAAUCACAUGAUCUAAAUUAUUUAAGAUAGAUAAAAUUAAUAAUAAUAGACUCUAUUAUGAUAUUACGAUGGUGUAUAAGAUAAGUUGAAAGUUCAAAACCUCAUUGAACUUUCUAUCUUUAAAAUCUUAUUCUAUGUAUUUUAUAUCUAAAUAAUAUUGAUCACAAAUGAGACCGGCCACUAUAAAUAGUCUAUCUAACCCUAAUAUUUAUCAUUAUAAAUGGUCUAAUACUUACUAUAAUAUAUUGGAAAAGGCAAGCCGACGUUUUCCUGUAAUUUGCCAAAUGAGAAAAAGCAAAAGCAUGAGAGAAAGCAUAUCGAUCCGAGUAAAGUAAUCCUCUACCUUAUGGAAUUCCAUAGGGUAGCAAACUACAGCCGCCACCUUUCCGUCCGUGGACGACUACCGCAGUAGUCAUCCUCGUUACGGAGUUCCAAAAGUGUUAGAGAGAGAGAGAGACGUCUCCAUCUCUCGACAUCAUAUUUCACGUCCUUCGUCACUUUCUUUCGUUCAUCCUCUUCUUCAGCGACGAAAUGGAGGGGUGCGUGAGAGAGAAAAGGCCACGGCCGACGCAGAUCGCAGCGAGUGAGGGAGAUGAUCAAGAGGAAGAGAUGGGGAAGUUCUACGCUGUGCUUGCAAACAUCAGAGCAGCGAGAGAUGAUCUGUCGAGGACAACUGCGACCAGGAGGCUGAAGAGGGAGGCGGUGCCGCUUUGGAAGCCGAGGUUCGUGAUGGAGGACUUCCGCCAUGGCAGGGAAGUUGAGAGCUCGGUGGCGGGGGCAUCGGAUCCUUGGGAACAGAAGACAGGAACUGAGAAGGAAAAGGAAGGAGUAGGAGAAGAAGAGAGGAAUUUGGAUCUCAGUCUCUCUCUCAAAUGCUUGUAAUUAAUCCCACUGCUCCAUCACUGAAACGAGACUUCUCUCACUCGAAAUAUGUAGUUAUCAUUCCUCCAAUGUGUAUGAAGAACCUGCUUUUUUAUAUUAAUUUAAGGUGCAUUAUACGCGAUAUUUAUGCAUCUCUUUCCUGUUUUACAUCAGUGCAUGAUGUCAUGACCCCUGCGACGUGCAGCAGCACGUACGCAAUACGUGGGCUUAUUGGAUGGUCUGAGAUGGACCACAUCAUCUGAUAGGCCCAUGCAAUCGUGUCCGGUCAUGGCUUGACUUGCCCUGUACCAGUUCGAAUUAUUUUGGAUUCACGGGUCUAUCCAACCUACUUAAAUUAAAUCUUAAUUAUAAUUGAAAUAUAUAUAUAUAUAUAAUAAAUACAUGAAUUGGAUGUGAUUUGAGUCCAUAAAAUCGGUAGCUGUUAUGCCAUUAAAAUCUGUCUUGCUUUUCGAAGCACUUAUAGAGAAGGAAAUGAAAUGACUUAUGAGCCUACGUCAGAACCAACCGCUCCCGGAUUGCGCUGCCACAGUUUUGGCGGGAGCGAGCAACGCAGCUUCGCGCGCUUUCUCUUCACCACUGCGGGAAACGAGACUCGGGGCCCACCCCACCUGCUUCAGUUCCGUGGCCCCCAAACCUUCUCCCCCAAUUAGUUAUUUCUCGGUCAAAUAGGAAAAGAAUCGAACGGCCUGAUAAAAACAUGGGUUGGUGUCGUCGAUGCAUGCGUGGAUGGAUGUCAUGUCGUUGAUGACAUGAACGAAACUAUAUAUAUAUAUAUAUACUUUUUUGUAUUACCAUUCAUAUAUAAUUAUUAUUUAAGGUCCUACAACUAGUUAGAAUAAAUGAUUGACGGAUAUGGUUCCUUAGUUAACUAAGUUUCGACUUAGGAAUUAUCAUGAAUUAUAUUAUUUGCUUUUCUUUUUGGAAAUUCUAUUUACAAUUGGCUGUCCUGUCCAUGCCAUCUUGCGAUGGAACUAAAACCCCGUAAUUACAUGGGAAAAGUGUGGUGUGGUUGGUAGCUCAUGCAACUUGUGCUGGAGGAAGGUUGUAGGAGACUGGUCCAAAACCUGGGAAUUGGGGAGUGAAGUAUGUAUCGAACCAAUUUGGGUUUAAAGUUUUUAGAUCUUUGAUAAGUUCGGAUUCAAAUAAAAUGAGAUUUAAGUAAAUUCUUUUUUGUUUUUCAAGCCACAUCUAAAGGUUUGGAUGUGACAAAAGUAGGUUCAUGAGAUUCAUGAAGCAGUGUGUGAUUACCCAAUUUGAAAGGGUUAAUUCUGAUCAAAUAUAUUACCAAUUUGAUAGGAUAUGAUUAGGAUAAUGCGGUUUCAUACCAAUUUUUAAUAUUCUUUUGUUUAAUUAUAUUGUCAUAUUUUUUUCAAAGUUAAAAAUAUUAUAUUAAUUUAGAAUAGGUCUCGUUUCAGCUAUCCUCCAUCAUGCCAUAAAUCCAUAAAUUUAAAUUCAAUUCUCAAAUUUCAUGAGAAUUAAAUUUAAAGGAUACUAACAAUUAUGAUAUCUUUUUUUUAAUUGAUAUAAUAUUUUUUAUCUUUAAAAAAUAAUAUGAUAAAAAUAAUUAAAUAUAAGAAUAUUAAAAAUUGACAUGAAAUCCGUGGAUUACUCAUUUAAUUUACCAACAACGUUUCCUUAAACCAUGGUAAUAUAAUUCUUUUAACUUCUCAAUCACGAAAUCUACUCAUUCAAAUUAUAUGAUGUCACCGUAACUUGGUUUCCAAGCAUCUCACGGACGGCCGCGAUCCUCUCUCGGAUCAUCGCCGUAAUGUCAUCAACCUUCUUACCUAAUCUUAUCACCAUCAUGCCACCCCCAUGCUAUCGUGCCUCUACGAACCAUAGCAUCCAUCAAUGUUAUUAUCUAUACGUGUUCAUCGUUUACUCCCAUCGAACACCUGACAUAACACCUCCCUUCUGGGACCCAAAUAUACUCGGAAGGAAUGUAUCUCAGCGAGUAGCACAGUAACGAGUACGACAAAGCUUUAACAUUUGCCGUCGUGCUUCGUGUCGUGCCUAUAACGCACUCCCUCGACCACUUCCGAGACGGUGCAGAGGAGAAUAAAAAGGAGGUCCGUUUUCUAUUCUUUCGACCACUGCUACAAGACCGUCGUCCUGUUGGGUCUUCCUUCUCUUGCUUCCUCUUGUGGACGCUCCGGUGAACAAAGCAGAGUAGGAUAGCAAGAGCAGAUAGAAAGGGAUUUAUGUGGGCGGUUGCCGUACCCCUAUUGGUCUUCUUCCGCUUCCUGUUAUCCGCAAACGAAGGACAACCAGUUCUCGAGAGGUUUGGCCGUCCUUCUUCUUCUUCGGCAGUGUGCAUGAAACAGAGGCUUCUGUGCCUGGUCUCCAUGCGCUUCAUGCACAUCUGGUAUAGAUCUACGUGAAAAGCAGUCUCUUAAACUCACCAGUUUUGUUGUGUUGAUGGUAUUGAGAUGUUCACCCGAAUGCUUUGAUCUUGCAGGGCUGGUUUUGGUUUCGGAGUGAAGUAUUUCGGUUUCCUGCACAUAGAUCGGUGUUCCAUCCUCGCCCUCACAUAACAGCAGGAGUUUCUUUCAAGGUGCCGUAUUCUUCGCGUUCAGAGUCUCGAAUUGACGCUGGUUGUAGUUCUGUUGCAAAGAAGAAAGGUGAAGGAUGUUUGCUCUGUGCGAAGGCAGGACGAGGAGGAAGAGGAAAACGAAGAGAUUGGAUCGGUUGGACUCGUCCGAUUCCGAUCGGAUGAAGAAAUCGCAAGGAUUGUCAUCUUUCCGGCCCAAUUCCAGGAAGCAUUUGAACGGCCUGAUCGGGUCGGGGAAGGCCGCUAGAAAGGUUCGCAUCUUUUUUGCCGACCCGGACGCCACGGACACCUCCUGCAGCGAAGACGAGGAGGACAAGUUUGGGACCGAAUCGAAGAGGAGGAAGCGAGUACUGUACGAGAUUCCUUUGUCCCCUGCAGCUAAAACCCUAGAGAUCCAAAGGGUAUCACAGCAUAGGGCGCCGAAAUCGCUAACGUCGUCCACCUCAGCCGCUUCGGGGAGGUAUAAGGGUGUCCGUCAGAGGCGGUGGGGGAAGUGGGCGGCGGAGAUCAGAGACCCCAUCCGCGGCGUCCGCCUCUGGCUCGGAACCUACGCUACCGCCGAGGCAGCGGCCGAAGUGUACCGGGCGGCCGCGAGGCGUAUCGAGGAGGAGAAGCGCAGCCUGCUCCACCAUCGCCACGGGCCUUCCAAUGACAGUGCAGGGUCUGUCUCGUCCUCCUGCAUGUCGGCACCCGCCGGGGUACCACCCUCCCCAUCCUCCGUCCUCGACAUCUCCUUGGCCGCCAAGCCCAAAGGGAGACCCGCCGCGGAAUUGUUGGAGGAGCUCUCGAUGCCGGAAAUGGAGUUUGGGCUCGACGAGGAGCCCUUUUUGGUGGGCGAACUCGGCGAGGAUGCGAUCGGCCUCGAUGAUCUGCCGCUCAGUGAGCACCAGUUCGACGGUGACGAUUUCUCCUUCCUCGAUUCCUAGUCGGAGCCCCCAAAACGGUUCAAGAUUAAAAGCGUAUGCCAUUUCGUAUGCGGAUGGCAGUUAAGUAAUUAUGUAAACAUGAUUUAUGAAGGAGUACGUACGUGUUCAUGUCUUAGCUCUAAGAAUUAGUCGUAGUUAAGUUGGAUGUCGUUGGCGAUUUCUCUCAAAUAAAUGUAUUCCAAGGUCCGAUUUCAGUGGGAAUCUAUGGUAUCAUCUGCCGGGCUUGUCAAGUACUUAUAAACCCAAUCUUUGCUAUGAUUGGGUUUAUGAAUUUUAAUAAUGUUAUAUAUUUAUACUUAAUUAAUUUAAGAUCCGUAUAUGUUUAUACUUUUAUCUGAUAUCGAAUGCUGUUAAGAAAGAUAAAAGAUCCGGAAACUUUUGAACCAUAUCUAGUUCCUGUGGGCGAUGGGUUUUAUUAUAUGCAAUCUUAUUGGGUCGGGUCGAGCUUUGGGUUUGGGUGAGACGUUAUGUGGCUCCGAACCUUCAACCCGGUUUGGUUUGGCUGCGUUUGUUUGAUAUCGGGAUGAGGGUUGGUUGUUCGAGUGUAUGCGUGUCUUUUUCUUUUAUUAUUAUUUUUUCUGUGUCAAAUAAAAUAAAAUAAAAGGAUAGGUGGAGGGGAAGUGCGCCGGAGCGGUCGAAGAAUGGCAACGGGAGGCAAUCUGAAGGGCGUGGCGAUCAUCAGCGGCGGCGACGCCGUCCGAGGUUCUCUUCACUUCAUCCACGACACGUCCACCGGUCGGCGGUUGCUACGCUCGGAUAGAUUUCUUGGAAUCCUCAUGCUGCCGUCUCCUCUCCUCUCUCAUUCUCUCCUCUUUCGUGGUCGUUUUCUACCUGCAGGGCACACGCAUGUGAGGGGGAGGAUCAGCGGACUCGCGCCUGGUCUCCAUGGCUUCCACAUCCAUUCUUUUGGUGAUACCACCAACGGCUGCAACUCCACUGGUAACCCUCGAAUCUCUUUCUCCUCAAUCUUUUCUUAUUCUUUUUGUUGUUUUGUUGCUGCGAAUUGAUCGUUUGUAGUAGAAGAACUUGUGAAGAGGGAACCUUCUAUAAAAGCCAAAUACAAAAAAAUCUCCAUGUGUUAAGUUCAAUCAUGCUUAUUGGUGAUGGAUUAACUAGCUUAAUCCUGAUGAAAAAAGCGAGAUGAUUUGUGGUUAAUAGAUAGAUAAUUAUAUACAAGCUCAAAUAAGUACCACUCCGUGGAGACACUCUUUUUUCAAGUUAUUGUGUGUUUCCUUUCAUGCUUUUAAUGAGAUCUUCUGAACUUCUAUUCAUAAGUUAAACAUUUCUGUCAAAAUGAAUUGGUAUUGAGGAAGUUACCCAAGGUUUUUAUAGACUUGGCCUAACCUGACCUGUUUCACUGGAGCUGCUGAGUUGCUUCAAGUCUGACAAGCAAGUCUUUUAGCAAGAAACAAUUAGCUACUACUAUCCCUGCCAAAUUUCCCUAUUAGCUUUCACUAUUAGAAGCGAUUAAAUUCAUUAUAACAAAGAAAGGUCAUGAGUUUCAAGUAAAGCAAAGGCAUAUACUCAGUAACCAGAAUGAUAGAGCCUAGGUUUGGGCUGGUUUAGUGAAUCCUUUCUGUUUGUCCAACUCCAUCUACGACUAUUUCCUUAUUAUUGAUAGUUUGGUGCUAUUGUUCUUGUCCUAAAGAAUUAGUUUUGAAACAUACCACUGUCUAUCAAUGUUUAACAUUCUGGCAGGUCUAAAUCAUAAUCAGGUAAAAGGAGGGAGCAUUAUAAAUUUAACACUGUCAUUUUGGUGAAACUUUAAACUUCAGCCUCCUUAAAGCAUAUGACCAUACGACAUAUUCAUAACACUUAAUACAUUGAGUACUUGACUCGAUACAUACGUGGGUAGUUCCGAAAGUCUAAAUUUGUCAUUACCCUAGAAAAGAAUGAAAUGUUGAAGUCUCAUGAAUUUUUUUUCCGUCCAAAGACUUUGAAGUCUGAAAAGGGUGCUUGAAGAUGGAUUGGAAAAAAUGAUUGGAAAAAAUAUAUGGUGUGAACAAAAAAAAAUACUCAAGUACUUUGUGGUGAAUAAGGGGAAGUGCCAAGUACCAUUUAGGUGACUUAAGAAAUGGAAGGGGAAUUGUGGUGCUUUGGGAUGUUGUAGGUUGACUCAUCGGAGGCAACCUUGGUUAUUGGAAAUUUGAUGAUAAUUUAUAAUCAGGUUAACAGAAACUAAUAAUUUGGUGAACUGAAGAACCUUGUCUUGGUUAUCUAUUUUCAAUGAUGCUAAUAAAACAAUUGUAGUUAUUUGGUAUAUACACGGUAAAGGAGAAAUCUCUGGAUAUCGUGUUAGUGGCAAAUGACUUCUCCUUGUUGUCAUGCAGGACCUCAUUUUAAUCCGCUGAAUAAAUCUCAUGGGGCUCCACGUGAUGAGGAACGACAUGCGGGUGACCUGGGAAACAUUGUAGCCAACCAAGAUGGUCAGUGCCUAAAAAUAUUGUGUAUUGCCAUACAGUUUUAUGAUGACAUCAUGGAAUAUGGUUGUUGCAGGAGUAGCUGAAGUAUACUUGAAAGAUCUACAGGUUUUGCUGUCUCAACCAAUAACUUUUGGAUAUUGAUUUUGACAGUCUCCAGAAAUUUAAUGAAAAUUUCGUUGGUUAAUCUUUUUCCCUUUUUUUAAGAUUCCUUUAUGCGGACCAAAUUCAAUUCUGGGAAGGGCAGUUGUGGUUCAUGCUGAUCCUGAUGACCUAGGCAGAGGUAUAGAAAUUGUGUUUAACAUAAAAAUUUCUGAUAUCCAAAAAUUGUGAAACUAGAUUUUGCUUGCAUAUAAUUUGAAGAACAAAUACCUCUUGACCUUAUCUAGUUUGAAGAAUAAUUAGAACUAGAAUGCUCAAAGUAAAUUAGUUCCACAGAAUGUCCCCAGGUAAUUUAGUGCUUUUGUUGCACAUCAGACAUCUCACAUCAACACAAACUCUACCUAGAAAUGGACUGAUUUAUAAGUUAUAACUGCACUUAGAAAUGGACUAAUUUCACUUGCAUCAAAGUGUGUUAGAUUCCAUUUGGUAUAUACAUUCUAUUAUUUGCAUGUUUUUUUUCGGUUAUUACAGUUUUAAUGUUCAUCACUCUCUUCUCUUUGCUGUGUGCCACUUUGAUUGAUUAAAUGGUAGUGAAAUUUGUGUCAAUAUUCAUAAGAGAGGGGCUUUCACACUUAGUCUAAUACUUGCAUAAAAUAGCCAUCGUAUGCUUUUAACCAGGUUGAUAUGCAAGAUAUGAUAGUAAUUUAUAGAUUAAACAUGGCAGUUGAGUCAUAUCUGCCAGUUACAGAUUGUCCAUUGCAGAAUACAUGUCAGACAUGUGAUGAAUGUUAUAUUUACUUGCAUUUCUCCAAGUUGCAGGAGGUCACCAACUCAGUAAAUCCACUGGUAACGCGGGCGCCAGAAUCGGAUGCGGUGAUACAUCCGCCCAUUAUUGCAUUGCAUGCAUAUGCACUUGGUUUUAUUUCUCUAUGAAAAACCUAAUUUGCACAUAUUGCUCUCCAGGAAUCAUUGGUCUUCAGUCGGCAGUUUGAUGAUGGUUUAUACAUAUGCACGAACCACUGUCAUGGUUUCUCUCUACUGCCUUUAGAAGACGCAAAACAAUUACCAUGGGCCGGCCGGUACUUGUGAAUAAGUAAACUGAAACAUGCUCGUAAAAUUUCAUAGACCUCUUGUAAUGAUGAGCAUAUUGAUUACUGCUGCAACUUAAGUUCAAGAAAUUGCAAGUUAAUGGCUUGGAACUCGAUGCUUCUUGUCUCAGUUAUGAUCUUUUACUUACAGCUAGUCAUCUUGUUGCAAAAAAUUAUAUUUGAGCUUCAAACCAAUGAAUUCCAGGCUAUGGUUUUUUGGUUAUGACUAAUUUGGUAGCCAUAUAUUGAUUUGAAUGGUUCACUCACCAAUUUAAACGUGUUGAGUGGAUGAGACUGGGAGCAGGCCAUCGACACUGGGAGAGAUGGGUGGCAUAGUUAUUUAACCGACCUUUGGCCAGUCCAAUAUGUUGUUGAUUUUUUGUAAUAUAUAUAAAUCAGAAAAAUAUUCUACUAUAGUUACUAUUUUUAUUUUUCUUUUGAAAUUAUUUGAAGUGUUUUGAAAAAAAAAAGAUUUAUCACAUUUACUCAACUUGCCACUCUAAUCAUCUCACUGUUGCCCAACCUCAACUCAAUCUUCGUGCUGGUCAACGUGGCGCCUUUUUGAUGUUCGUUUAUAUCGAGAGUCGCUGCUGAAGCCCGAGUCAGCGCUCUCAACUCACCGCUUCUUUGAACGCGAUCCGCGCGGGCAACCACGCAUUCAUCGGCUCCCAUAGCAUCGACCGUUCUACACCACCCGACUCCGUCAACUCCUCCAUGCCGAAAGCGUAGCCACCUCCCUCCGCCACCUUAUAAGAGCCCCGGCCCUGCAGCCCUAUCCAUCCUCGCAACCGAAGCAACCCACACCUUCCACCAUACCCAACCAACCAAGCUCAAGCCCCUAACGCAGCAGCAAUGGCGGACACCAAGACGGCUGUGGUUGCUUUCCUCCUCGUCGCCCUCCUCGUGGCGUCGGCUGCCCCCUCCGCGAGCGGCUUUUGCUUCCCCGACUGCUACGACCGCUGCGCCAACGGCAAGGUCGGCAACGUGCCCUGCGCCACCAUGUGCGCCCAGGCCUGCAUCGUGCCCAGGGUCCUUCCCGACGGCAGAGACCCGACCAUGAUGCAGCCCGGCGGCAACUACUAAUAACUUGGAAAGAAAGAUGAAGAAGAAGAUAGUCGUGGUCCCAAUCUUUGCCAUGUUGUUAGGCACAUGUGAUGUGUGCUCUAACAGUAGGAAUGCUUAUUAAUAAUCGUCAAUUAUUAUUAUUAUUAUUAUUAUUAUUAUUAUUAUUAUAAUACUACGUGAAUUUUGGGACACUAGUCAGUUUCCACAUUCUUCGGUUGUUUUCUGUAACGAUGUGGAGAUUGACUGUAAGCUUUUUUUCCUGAAAUAUAUGCAUGUGUUCUUUUGUGCUGAGUUAUAUGAUUGUUCUAAUGGAUCUAUCUACGCUCUAAAGAAGACAAAUCCAUUUCCUGCCAGCAGAGACCAAGCAUGGAUAGCAUCAACUUCGUCCAAGAGCUCUGCAAUCCCCUCACCUUCUUCUCAUGCUCCUAGUUUGCUUUCGUUUCAUUCAGAUUACAUGACUCUGCGAUCCUUUUUGCUACAAAAAUUGGAUCGGAUUCCAACUGCACUCGGUGCAUUGAGACAGAUUCAUCUGCCAAGAGCAACAAUUCCCAUUGAUGACAGCUCUGGCAGAG